UACGUAGGGGGCUAGCGUUGUCCGGAAUCAUUGGGCGUAAAGAGCGUGUAGGCGGCCCGGUAAGUCCGCUGUGAAAGUCGGGGGCUCAACCUCGAAUGCCGGUGGAUACUGUCGGGCUAGAGUCCGGAAGAGGCGAGUGGAAUUCCCGGUGUAGCGGUGAAAUGCGUAGAUAUCAGGAGGAACACCGGUGGCGAAGGCGGCCCUCUGGACGGUGACUGACGCUGAGACGCGAAAGCGUGGGGAGCAAACAGG
rnacentral:rRNA from 1 species